rnacentral:lncRNA from 1 species
UAAUAACAGAUCUCCACUUCUUCUUCAUUACUCUCCCUCCUCCUGUCAACAUCAUCUUCUCUGGCGAGGAGCUUCAAGCUCCGAUGAACCAAAGCAAAGCAACAAUCCCCGCUAGUUUCUUUUUCUCUUUCACAACCAUCUUUGGAGCAUCGAAUCCGACAGCCACCACAUCCACGUCGGAUUAUAAUGGAGCAACCAGAUCUGGCUGAAAUUGUCCAGAUCUGGCCAAAAUUAUUAAAUUUUGACAGAUUUAUUUGAUGAUGGAGGAGAAACGGAGUGGAUAGUAAGUUGUUGGUUUCUCCGACGAUGUGAAUUAGUUGGAGAAGACGAAAGUUGUUUGGUGAUUGAUUCGCCGGAGGGAGUUAGUUUUGAAGGUGAUUCUCUGUUCAAACAAAUACAGGUUGGGUGCUGGAGAUCUAAUCGGAGCUUGGUGCUAGUGAUAGAGCUCUCGCUGGAG